rfam:Saccharibacter sp. AM169, AM168, WGS project CBLY01000000 data, contig: NODE_1
GCGGAGCUGCCUGGUGCGUCAGGCAAGAUCAACCUCUGGGCCGAUAAGCACUUCCAAGGGAACUGGCUCUGUCGUGGCUGUGGUCACGUUAUUACCGGUGCCCACCUGCCCUAGCAGGUCCGGGAGGGCUGAUGAGACCAACGGCCAAGGCGGCUUCACC